CUUUUUAAAUUGAAUCAAAAGGUCACCGCAAGUUAAAUUAAACUGAUUUUUUUAUACUGAAAUUUUAUUUUAUGAAUUAAAGUUAUAGUAAAACAUAUGCUGACCUAUUAAUUCUAUAAUUUUUACAGUACAUUUUAAUGAGGAUUUAAUGCAUAUUUACAAACAAACUUAAACUGAAAAACUUAAACUUAAAUUAAUUUCAUGCCUUUGCUCCACAUUUGAUUUCUUGGAUUACAAUAUUUACGAAAUACACAACAGAAAGCAGAUGCAAAUGCAGUUUUGUUCUGGUAAAAAAAAAUCUCUUUGAAUGCAUUGACUUUUUUAACAUUUUUAAGUUGAAUCAAACUGGCUGUGCAUGUUAAAUUAUAUUAAACUGAAAAUCAACCAUCUUGAAUCUUGUAACUUAAAAAAUGAAGUUGAACUUUUUUAUUUUGACAAGUUAAAGCAAUGGAUAAUGUUGCCAUCAGUAUGACUGUUGAAAUAUUUGUGUGUGGGAAUGAAUUCUGAUCGGUUUCUCGUGUGUUUUCUGGCUUGUGUGUGUGUUUAUUGUCAGAAUAUGGCCAAGGCAGAUAUUGAGAUGGACAUUCAGAGACACGAGGACUCGGAGGGAGGAAGACGCGAUGAUGAAGGGCCGCUCAUCAAGUACUACCGGGCCAGAGAGGCUCUGCCGGGCCCCGUGCCGGCUCUGCAGCGGCUCCUCAGGAAGGAACCGUCCACCUGCGCCGCCAUUCAGUCGUCCAGUGGGAUCCUGAGUUUUGGGAUCGGGGUCGUAUUUGCCGCGUCAUUCGGGAUCAAUCUUAAUUUCCUGACUUUAUUCCGAGUUCCCAUCAUUACUGGGAUCAUGUUUGUCGUUGCUGGAAUCUUGUCGAAUCUUCUGUACAAACACCCCGAGCUUCUGCAGACUUGUUUCAUCGUUAACAUCGGGUGUCUGCUCAUGUCUGGGAUCGGAACCAUUCUCCUGAGUGUUGAUCUUCAUCCAGGUGAAGAUACCAUCCAGAACAAGAUGGAGGUUCUGGUGCUGUGUGUGACUCUGAUGGACAUGAUCAUCGCAGCGGUGCUCAUAUACUGGUUUUACAGAGAGAAGCGUGAUCAUAAGCAGUGACGGCGUGAUCUAACGUCAGGAUGAACGUUCAGUUCUCAGCUCAGAGUUUCUCAGAAGCAACAAGAAUAGAAUUAAAGAACUAAAGAAAGCAGAAGUAUCUUUAGUGAACAGCUCUCCUUCAUCAAGCUGAACACGCUCACGAUCCGCUGCAGGAGUCGAGAGCGAUGUGACCACAUGCUACACACGGAUGAUCUGGCUUGUUAGCGAAUGAAUAUAGAUUUAUUAUUGUAUUUUUAGUGUGAAUGAAGAAGUGAAGUGGUGAUGCUGCUUGCAGCUUUAUAUGUUAAUUGUGUUUUAUUACUCAUGAAGCUGGAUAUUUUCUCUUUACUGUACAUAUUUUUACAUUUAUGAUUUAUUUCUGUAUGUGACUUAUGAAGUUGAGUUAAUAAACUACAGAAUUCAAUACGAUUUUACUUGCA
ensembl:lncRNA